CUGGAUUCCUUAUGUAAAAAUAAAUAGGCACAUGCAUAUCAUUAGUAUGUUAACACAGUUCAACCUUUUAGAAAUGCUAAAUUGACAUGUAUGCCAAAGAAUUGUUUUCAAACAAAUUUAUGUUUUAUUAUAUGUGAAUGUUUGAUUCGCAUAUCUGUUUUAUCUCCUUAAACACCUGGGGUCACAUAAAAAAUUUUGAGUGAAGAAGAUUGCUGUUAGAAAAUGUUGGGAGCCCCUGCUUUCUCCUUUCUUUUCAGAGAAUGUGGGCCCCUCCUACAGUCCUAAGGGAACAAAGCACUCAUAGAAAUCCUGGCUGACAAGUAAGCCUGUUAGCCAAGUCUACUCCUUCUGCUGUUCUGAACACUUACAAAACCUAGCUUUAAAUAGCAAAAACAAACAAAAAACAAUAUAGUGUGAGAAGUAAAAAUUAUAUGCUGUCAUAGUUUUUGUCAACUUGAUACAAACUUAGACAUGGAUCUAUAAAAGCAAUCAAAUUGCUUUUGGUCAUGGAUUUUAUCACAGCAAAAUAAAGAUGCAAUCUAAUACAUGAGAGAUGAAAUUUCCACAUACAAAGGUUAAAUCUUUUUUUUUUCUAAAGACAGGGUUUCUCUGUAGCUUUUGUCCUAGAACUCACUAUGUAGACCAGGCCGGCCUCAAACUCACAGAGAUACUUCUGCCUCUGCCUCCUGAGUGCUGGGAUUAAAGGUAUGUGUCACCACUGCCUGGCCCUGGCCUUCCUUCAUUUUUGCAAUACCAUAAAAAGUUCCAAAGAUACAUAAAAGAAAUCGCCUCCUUUCAAACAUUGUUCUAACAACUAUUACACUAAUGCAAAUUUCUCCUUUCAUUUCACAGAAAUCCAAAUCUAUGCUUGGUUUUUCAAUUUCAAAUACUGGUUGUACUGAUUCCAAAGGAGACUCCAGGGAGCUUACAGCCAAAGUUCUAUGGAGUGGGUACUGAAACUGUCUUAUUAUGGAACCUAUUUCUCAUCUUCCUGCCCAAACAUCCUGAACGCUGGAUUGACAGACUGAACCCCACCAAGCUUACUAAGGAGGGUAAGGCAGGGGAUUGGGAGUUGGUCAUCAGCUUGAGCAGUAGCUUGAGCAACAAAAUGAGAGGUUGUCUGAGAAAAGGAACUGCAAUAUAGAAAAUGGAAAUAGUUAUGGGGCUAAAGCUGAGUGGGAAGGUGGUAGCUAUAUGCCACAUGAAGCCCAAGAAUCUUCCGAUUUAGGACUAGCGCUAACGAUAAUCUUAUUGUUGUGAACCAAUGAUACACCUUCUGUAAGUAUUUUCAGCUUCUUUUGAUUUUAUUAUGUUUGAAAGAAUUUUAUUCCUUUUAUUUGUAAACGUGUGUGUACACACGCGCGCAUUAACCCCCCCCCCCCCCCAUGUACAUGCAGAUGUCUGUAGAAACCAGAAGAGGGAGAGAGUUGGAGCUUUCAGAGCCAGUAUAUGGCAGUCUGGGAACUGAACUGUAGUCCUCUGUAAGAGCAGUGUUCUAGUUUCAUUCUGUUGUUGCAUAAAACACGGAUAAACAGCAACUUGGAGGGAAGGAUGUCUUUGACAUACACCUUCCUUUCCAGUUGAGGGAAAUCAAAGGCAGAAACUCGAGGCAGGAGCCAUGAAGGAAUACAGACCCACUAGCUCACUCUUUAGGUUGACCCCUGGCUCGACGUUUAGCUAGCUUUUUGAUCCCAAACAUCUCAUAAAACCAAGCCUCCCUGCACUUGGAAGAUGGAGACAGGAAACUCGGGAAGUUCAUGUCCAUCCUUAGCCACAGAACAAGUUAAGCCUGGGCUAUGUGAGUCCGUCUCUAAACAAAUAAAGUUUUAAAAGAUGGCCA
rnacentral:lncRNA from 1 species